UUUCCGUAGGUGAACCUGCGGAAGGAUCAUUACUGAGUGAGGGCCCCUCGGGGUCCAACCUCCCACCCGUGUUUAACGAACCUUGUUGCUUCGGCGGGCCCGCCACACGGCCGCCGGGGGGCAUCUGCCCCCGGGCCCGCGCCCGUCGGAGGCCCAAACCAAACUCUUGUUUUUGUAGAAUCUUCUGAGUGGCCUUUUAGGCAAAAAAUGAAUCAAAACUUUCAACAACGGAUCUCUUGGUUCUC
rnacentral:misc_RNA from 1 species